rnacentral:rRNA from 1 species
GACGAACGCUGGCGGCGUGCUUAACACAUGCAAGUCGAACGGAAAGGCCCUGCUUUUGUGGGGUGCUCGAGUGGCCAACGGGUGAGUAACACGUGAGUAACCUGCCCUUGACUUUGGGAUAACUUCAGGAAACUGGGGCUAAUACCGGAUAGGAGCUCCUGCUGCAUGGUGGGGGUUGGAAAGUUUCGGCGGUUGGGGAUGGACUCGCGGCUUAUCAGCUUGUUGGUGGGGUAGUGGCUUACCAAGGCUUUGACGGGUAGCCGGCCUGAGAGGGUGACCGGCCACAUUGGGACUGAGAUACGGCCCAGACUCCUACGGGAGGCAGCAGUGGGGAAUAUUGCACAAUGGGCGGAAGCCUGAUGCAGCAACGCCGUGUGCGGGAUGACGGCCUUCGGGUUGUAAACCGCUUUCGCCUGUGACGAAGCGUGAGUGACGGUAAUGGGUAAAGAAGCACCGGCUAACUACGUG